rnacentral:rRNA from 1 species
UACGUAGGGUGCAAGCGUUGUCCGGAAUUAUUGGGCGUAAAGAGCUCGUAGGCGGUUUGUCGCGUCUGCUGUGAAAACUCGGGGCUUAACUCCGGGUCUGCAGUGGGUACGGGCAGACUAGAGUGCGGUAGGGGAGACUGGAAUUCCUGGUGUAGCGGUGAAAUGCGCAGAUAUCGGGAGGAACACCAAUGGCGAAGGCAGCUCGCUGGGACGGUACUGACGCUGAGACGCGAAAGCGUGGGGAGCGAACAGG